GGACACAGCCCACUCUGAUGCAUCCCUUACAGAACUCAUUAUAUAGCAGGAGACAUGCAAAUAGGGUCCUCCCUCUGCUUAUAUGAGAACUAACCUAGCCCUGACCCUGCAGCCCUGGGAGAGGAGUCCCAGCCCUGAGAUUCCCAGGUGUUUCCAUUCGGUGAUAAGCACUGAACACAGAGGACUCACCAUGGAGUUUGGACUGAGCUGGGUUUUCCUUGUUGCUAUUUUAAAAGGUGUCCAGUGUGAAGUGCAGCUGGUGGAGUCUGGGGGAGGCGUGGUACAGCCUGGGGGGUCCCUGAGACUCUCCUGUGCAGCCUCUGGAUUCACCUUUGACGAUUAUGCCAUGGGCUGGGUCCGCCAAGCUCCAGGGAAGGGUCUGGAGUGGGUCUCUGGUAUUAGUUGGGAUGGUGAUAGCACAUACUAUGCAGACUCCGUGAAGGGCCGAUUCACCAUCUCCAGAGACAACGCCAAGAACUUCCUGUAUCUGCAAAUGGGCAGGCUGAGAGCCGAGGACACGGCCUUGUAUUACUGUGCAAAAGAUACACAGUGAGGGGAAGUCAGUGAGAG